GGUGAGUAACACGUGGGUGAUCUGCCUUGCACUUCGGGAUAAGCUUGGGAAACUGGGUCUAAUACCGGAUAGGACAGCUGUUUAGUGUCAGUUGUGGAAAGUUUUUCGGUGCAAGAUGAGCUCGCGGCCUAUCAGCUUGUUGGUGGGGUAAUGGCCUACCAAGGCGUCGACGGGUAGCCGGCCUGAGAGGGUGGACGGCCACAUUGGGACUGAGAUACGGCCCAG
rnacentral:rRNA from 1 species